AAUGCCUGCCUGCCCGCCCGCCACCAGGAAAGGCUGCUGGCUGUCAGCUAUGCAUGCAGCCCAGCUCCGACUCUCUUUACUGGCUUGAACAUUAUUAGCUCCCUGCACACAAUACUGUGUGGUGAAGAAGAGCCCAAUAGCCGCCACGCUAACACUGAGACACCAUCCACCGGUUCCAGUCUGGGGGUGGACACCCUGCGCCGACGAGGGAUAUCAACGACAAGACGUACAGCCCAGCAGGCUACACCACAAGGAGGUCGCAGCACCAGUCGGGACAGGCACACCCCAGCUUUCGUCAGUGAGGCAUCUUCCGGACCAUGUAAUUUCCUGCAUGAAUAGUAAAUACCGACUAAAGACGCUGUCUGACCAGGGAGGAUACGUUUCUUCAGAGGUUCCCCAUUCUUCAGAGAAACCACCAUAAAGGGACCUAAAGUAAUUGUACAGUUGACUCAAAAGCUGUUUCAAGUACUAUCCUUUUCAUCAGUCAAGCAGCCAAAAUGUCUGGAGUUAAUUCCAAAAGUAGCAUUUACUUCACAAAAGCAGAUACAGAUACAAGGUGCAAGUCAUUCAUAAGCCUCAAAAAUACAAAGGCCAGAUUAGACUUUGCCAAAAAUCAUCUAAAAAAGCCAGCCCAGUUCUGGAACAGCGUUCUUUGGACGGGAUCAGUACGUAAUCCCGCUGGACGGGAUCCCGGCGGUCGAAAUACCGACGCCGGAAUCCCGACCACACAAUCCCGACAGGGGUGGCGAGCGGAACGCAGCCCCUUGUGGGCUCAUUUCGCUCGCCACGCUGUGGGCACGGUGCCUCGCUACGCUCGGCACACUAUUAUAUUCUCCCUCUAUGGGUGUCGUGGACACCCACGGAGGGAGAAUAUGUCGGGAUUGUGGCGCUCGGGAUUCCGGCGUCAGUAUUUCGACCGCCGAGAUCCCGUCCACCAGGAUGUUGACCGCAUCCCCUUUGGACAGAUAAAACUAAGAUCAACAUGUACCGGAAUGAUGGAAAGAAAGAAAUAUGGAGAAGGCUUGGAAUGUCUCAUAAUUGGAAGUGUAUCACAUCUUCUGUACAACACGAUGAAGGCAGUGUGAUAGCAUGUUCCUGCAUGGCUUCCAUUGGCAUGGGGUCACUAGUGUUGGUUGAUGAUGUGACAGAGGACAGAAGCAGCUGGAUGAAUUCUGAAGUGUAUAGAGAUAUACUGUCUGCUUAGAUUCAGUCAAAGUCUGCAAAGUUGAUUGGGCAUAGCUUUACAGUCCAGAUGGACAAUGACCCAAAACAUACCAGACUCAAACAUGCCAAACCACUCAGAAGUGUUUUAAGGUAAAGAAAUUGAAUAUUCUACAAUGACUGACUCAAUCACCUGAUCUCAACCUUAUCGAGUAUGCAUUUGACUUGCUGAAGACAAUACUAAAGGCAGAAAGACCCAUGAACAUCCACUAAAUACAUCUGCAGUAAAGACCUGCCAAAGCAUAACAAAGGAAGUAUUAAAAAUGAACAUUUUAUGUAUUAUUAUGUUACUUUGCUCAAUAACAUUUGAGCCAUUGAAAACAGGGGACUGUGUAUAAAAAUUGUUGCAUUUCCUAAACUAUUCAUACAAUAUUUUUGUUGAACGCCUUCAAUUAAAGCUGAAAGUCUGCACUUCAA